rnacentral:rRNA from 1 species
GACGAACGCUGGCGGCGCGCUUAACACAUGCAAGUCGAGCGAAGCGGCGGACGGGUGAGUAACACGUGAGUAACCUGCCGUAGACAUUGGGAUAGCCUCGGGAAACCGGGAUUAAUACCAAAUGGUCUAAGAUGGACUCGCGUCCUAUCAGCUUGUUGGUGGGUAGUGGCCUACCAAGGCGACGACGGGUAGCCGGCCUGAGAGGGCGACCGGCCACAUUGGGACUGAGAUACGGCCCAAACUCUACGGGAGGCAGCAGUGGGGAAUAUUGCACAAUGGGGGAAACCCUGAUGCAGCAACGCCGCGUGCGGGAUGACGGCCUUCGGGUUGUAAACCGCUUUCAGCCAUGACGCGGUAGUGGCAGAAGAAGCACCGGCUAACUACGUGCCAGCAGCCGCGGUAAUAC